UACGAAGGGGGCUAGCGUUGUUCGGAUUUACUGGGCGUAAAGCGCACGUAGGCGGAUCGUUAAGUCGGGGGUGAAAUCCUGGAGCUCAACUCCAGAACUGCCUUCGAUACUGGCGAUCUUGAGUCCGGAAGAGGUGAGUGGAAUUCCUAGUGUAGAGGUGGAAUUCGUAGAUAUUAGGAAGAACACCAGUGGCGAAGGCGGAC
rnacentral:rRNA from 1 species